AACGAACGCUGGCGGCAUGCCUAACACAUGCAAGUCGAACGAGACCUUCGGGUCUAGUGGCGCACGGGUGCGUAACGCGUGGGAACCUGCCCUUAGGUUCGGAAUAACUCCCCGAAAGGGGUGCUAAUACCGGAUAAUGUCCUCGGACCAAAGAUUGAUCGCCUUUGGAUGGGCCCGCGUUGGAUUAGCUAGUUGGUAGGGUAAAAGCCUACCAAGGCGACGAUCCAUAGCUGGUCUGAGAGGAUGAUCAGCCACACUGGGACUGAGACACGGCCGGGACUCCUGCGGGAAGCAGCAGUGGGGAAUAUUGGAAAAUGGGCGGAAGCCUGAUCCAGCAAUGCCGGGUGAGUGAUGAAGGCCUUAGGGUUGUAAAGCUCGUUUACCCGGGAUGAUAAUGACAGUACCGGGAGAAUAAGCUCCGGCUAACUCCGUG
rnacentral:rRNA from 1 species